AUCACUGCAUGCGUCUGUCUCUUCAAACUUUCUGCCUGACCGCCCUGCCCAGGAGUCAGUGCCUUGCAGAGGGGACUUCUGUCCAGUCCCGGCUGUGGUUUGGGACCCAGGCCCAGCGGGCGCUCAACAACCCGUCCCCAGCACCGGGACUGCAGGGGCGUCGCUGUCGUCGGUCUGCAUUUGGACUCGGUAGCAGUCUCCGGGGUGGGAGGGAGACGACCCUUCAGAGUCCCUGCGGUAAGGCCUGCAGGUACCCGAUCCACGUACCUGAUCCGCACCCUCGGGACCUGCUCUGUCCCAGCAAGGGCGCCGCUCCCCACGCGGGGACCGAGCCCUGAACCGUGGUUGGUCCAAAUCUCGACGUGCUGUUCGUGUGAAACACCCACUGGAGUUUGAAAAUUUAGUUCAAAACCAUAAUGUGAAAUGAUCUCUGUACUAAUUUUUAUCUUACUUACAUGUUAAAAUGAUAUUUUAACUAUACUGGGUUACAUAUAUUAUUAAAAUUAAUUUCACUUCUUUUCCCUUUUUAAUGCGACUAGUAGAAGAUACAAACUGCAUGUGUGGCAGUUCACGUCGCAUUUCUGCCUGAGGGUCCCCAGAGGCCUGGCUCUGAACGUUCCCACACUUCUCACCAGGGUUGGUGUCUGUCUGUCCACUCAGAUACUCGCUGGAUGCCGCCCUGAGCAGGACUCACCCUGCAGAGCCCUGGGCUGGAGGGACUUGGUCUCUGGGGGCAGGUAUUACGGGACAGGGGGGAUGUAUCUGUCCAUGGCAGUGGCCAAAAGCCGUCCUCUAGCUUCUUACUCGUUUUCUCCCUUCUUUGCUGACCUCCCAGCAAGUAAUGUCAAAUGAUCCUAAGAUUGCCUUUCUCAAACUGUCCCAGUCUCCUCAGGACGCACACACGGUGGGCAUGGCUGGGGCACCUUUCGUGCACGCUCUUCCCGGCGUGAGGAGGGGACCCUGUUUCCACAGAGGCUUAGCCCACUCAGCUCACACUACAAGGCCGUGGUGGACACAGAUGCCAGCCGAGCACGGGGAAGCAGCCGUGACCUCUGAAGAGCCGGAGUGACGGCAGAAGACAGCAGGCUUUGGGGUGCAGCCUAUCGUUACAUUUAGAGGAGGCUGAAGGGAUGGGAGUGGAUCCAGAUUGGGCAGAAACACGGCUCUCAAGCACACCGCAUCUCCUUCUGGGAAAGCCUGUAGGCGCCAGCUGUUGGCAAAGCCACCCUGGUCCUCUCAGCCAAGGUGUCUCGUUAACGUACCUACGUACCUUUGACCCGGAGACCAGUAUCCCAGACACUUUCUUCAUACUCAAAGGUAACAUUUUAAUGAAAGCAUUAUUUAUGCUUUAUAAACGCACAAUGCCUAGAAAAACUUAGUACUGAUGAGCGUAAAACUUAGCCUGGCUAAAUUCGGUCAGUGGCCUUGCGGCAGUAUCCGGGAACUCGACGGCACAAGCAAACAAACAGAGGGGACCCGACCCCUCCACGAGCAUGACAUCACAUCACGCUUCCUCACUAGGAAGACUUCUUCAAACCUGAAAUUCUGCCCUAAAUAAUCAGUCUAAUUCUCAAGGAGUAACUGCAGGUGGGGACUGCCGGGUGUCAGGAGCACCGUGUGUGGCACAGGCUCACCUGAACAAGGACAUCGUCCUUUCUAGUGACGCUACGAGGCAUCAAGAUGGCACACUCGAUGUUCCCAAAGCAGAACUAUCACCAUAUUGACCUGUUCACUGACCUAGGCAUCUCCCUAUGAAAGGACUAUUCUCAUGAGAAACAAGCAAGAGUUGGGGGAAAAUGUUCUGAAUCUGAAGUUCCCAGUGGAGCUGACGCCACCUUCUGAAGCGAAUAAUCUACAACCAACCCACCCUGAGCUGC